ACCCAGGAGUACUUGGUGACUGGGUAUCUGCUCAGGAAGUCCUGAAGGAGAAAAGCAGCUGGUCACCCUUCUUCCAACACUAGUAAGGCUCCCCUGGGGCUUCUGUGCCCCCCUCCCCACCGUAUCCCCAACAAGUUCCCAGCUCACAGCUCACCAAACGGACCCAGCUCAACCCAUCUCUCCCCAAACACCAGGAAUUGGAAAGCUGUAUUGGAUGCUUGCUGGUCGGCAGACACUGGGGACCAGAAAUGGGGGGGGUCCCAUCUCGGCCUCAAGGGGAGAGAGCAUGUUAACGCCGGUCCCCACCGGGCAGUGCAAGAUGGGUACUGAGGGGACAAAGCACAUCCAGGUAGCAAAGAGGCGAGGGCCAGGGCCCAUGUGGCUGGGAGCAGAGGGCCAGCAGUGCGCUUCUCAGUUACGUCACAUCCGCUCAGCACAACGUUAUUAAGAACGUUUUUAAGAAAGACAAGUACAAAGACCGUGGAGCCAUGAGAGGCAAGUUAUAGGACAUCAGGGGUUACCGUGAGUAUAAACGCUGACUUCGAGUUGUGGCACGAUUUAUAGUAAAGACAAACCGUGUUGGCACAAGAAUGCAGACGUACAAGGAACGACAAGAACCACAGUACGUUAGAGAACUGUUAGCGAUGACCUUUCUCUUACAUAUUUGUCCUUGGCGUCAUCUUGUUUUUAGCAACUAACUAAAGGAAAAAUGGUAUUUAGAAAUGGUUAGCUUGGGAAAAGAUGCUUUAAUGUUGUAAGUCUGGGGCGUGAGGCCGCGAAGCCAGCGCAGUUCCAGAACCUAACUUGCCGCCACGUCACAUGAACAGUCACAUCCUUCCUACCACUCUGAUGAGUGAUUCCACUUUGGAGAAUAAAUCCAAGAACAUGAAGGGGAGAAAAUGAACUAACCCAAAGGUAACACUGUGUUACUUAGAAAGAAAAAAUGGAAACCACCCAAAUGCUCAGCAAUCAGGAAAUAACUGGGCACAUUACGGGACAUUAACAUGAUGGAAAAUUACAAUGCUGUUCAAGAUGCCAAGUACGUGGAAAAUGUCACUAUGAAAUCACACUGAGUGAAGAAAAGCAGACCAGGAAGUACACGUUGCUCACAACAUCCAGAAGCCUCUAUUCAUGAGGGAAAAUUAGGAGACUGUCCUAUGUGAGUUUAAUGUAUGCCCAGCUCUUCCCUAGAAAACUUAAGUUGAGGAAGCCAGAAGCUCCGUAUUUAACCCUGGUUAAUACGUAACCAGGGUUAGCACGAGAAAGAAAGAACGAGAAAGUAAGCACGAGCGUAAUGACCGUCCCCUUGGUGCCAUUCCUAGUGGUCCUCUGGGUCUCAGUGUAAAAGCCACGUCCUGUAGGGACGCCGCGUGCCCACCGCCUCCAAGGUGAGCUCCCGCCCCCGGGCCGCCGGAGCCGGACUCUGGAGCUUGGUGCACGGCCUGUCGCUUUCCUACCUGGGACGGUGACCGCGGCGAGGACAGGGAAGGCACACACAUGACCGCACGUCGGCCGGGGCCUGCCAGCAGGGCUGGGCAGGGAGCUGUGGCGAGGCGGCGGCUGGCAGCAUCAUCCAGAGACAAAAAUUCCAGAAACUCGCAAAUCAUCUAUGGUUCAAAGGACUGUGCUGUCGUGCCACCGCUGCCGUCCCGGGGGCUCCACGGCCUCCCGCAGGUGCUCCUCCAACGUCGCCACCAAUGUCAGGCCGCGUGGGGACGGUAGCCCGAGCGGAAUGUACUUGAACUCCCACAUUUGGCAUCUUAAAACGGAGGAAAUUUACAGCGUGUGUACUCCACCAAGAAAAGGCUAUAAACCAAGAAAAAGUCUUGAGAUAAAGGAAACAGGGACCUCACAUAGGAAAGAAGCAAUGGAGACAAGAUUCCAAGACAACAUAUACCUUGAGCACUGUGCACCUUCCCCCCACAGGACAGAUCAAUAUAGUGAUUAAACACCUAUUUCUGUGGUUUCUUGAUUAACGUCUGCCACACUCACUGCUCUGUUGGCCGUGUAAAGGUGGGGGCUGGGUCUUCUGGGUCAUCCUAGAAUCCCCAGUGCCAAACACAGUGUAGGUGCUUGACAAAUACUUAUGGAAUCACUGAGGAAAGGAACGCUCACAGUUAACUGCUUGGCCAGAGCAUCCCUGCUCCCCUCUUCCCAGCUCCGCCUCCACUCAGAAUGAAGGGUAAGUUGAAGACCUUGGAACCCUGAUGUCUGGUCCUCCUGCAUGUCACAUUAUUUCCCCAGGCUUUGGUGAUUUUCUCUGUAAUGUAGAGAUGGACUAGAUCUUCACUAGGAAUCUGUGAUCUGUAAUGAUACCUACAUCUUUCCACAGCCCACCGCCUCCUUCUCACCUGUGUGUGGCUCAGCAGUGGGAGGGUAGCCUGGUGAGCUGAGCAGAACGCCUGGCUGGCCUCCCAGGCCUGAGCUUCGGUAGAGACGUAGUAGCAGUGCUCCUCGGACCACAUCCAGCCCUGGGGGCAUGGCCGGCACCUGAUCCCUGCAAGCACAGAGACCACUAUAAAGAACUGAAUGUAUGCAUGUUAAAAAAAAAAAUCAAAAUCUAGGGCG